UACGAAGGGGACUAGCGUUGUUCGGAAUUACUGGGCGUAAAGCGCGCGUAGGCGGAUCGCUAAGUCAGGGGUGAAAUCCCAGGGCUCAACCCUGGAACUGCCUUUGAUACUGACGAUCUGGAGAUCGGGAGAGGUGAGUGGAAUUCCGAGUGUAGAGGUGAAAUUCGUAGAUAUUAGGAAGAACACCAGUGGCGAAGGCGGCUCACUGGUCCGGUACUGACGCUGAGGUGCGAAAGCGUGGGGAGCAAACAGG
rnacentral:rRNA from 1 species